rnacentral:rRNA from 1 species
GAUGAACGCUGGCGGCGUGCCUAAUACAUGCAAGUCGAGCGAACGGACGAGAAGCUUGCUUCUCUGAUGUUAGCGGCGGACGGGUGAGUAACACGUGGAUAACCUACCUAUAAGACUGGGAUAACUUCGGGAAACCGGAGCUAAUACCGGAUAAUAUUUUGAACCGCAUGGUUCAAAAGUGAAAGACGGUCUUGCUGUCACUUAUAGAUGGAUCCGCGCUGCAUUAGCUAGUUGGUAAGGUAACGGCUUACCAAGGCAACGAUGCAUAGCCGACCUGAGAGGGUGAUCGGCCACACUGGAACUGAGACACGGUCCAGACUCCUACGGGAGGCAGCAGUAGGGAAUCUUCCGCAAUGGGCGAAAGCCUGACGGAGCAACGCCGCGUGAGUGAUGAAGGUCUUCGGAUCGUAAAACUCUGUUAUUAGGGAAGAACAUAUGUGUAAGUAACUGUGCACAUCUUGACGGUACCUAAUCAGAAAGCCACGGCUAACUACGUGCCAGCAGCCGCGGUAAUACGUAGGUGGCAAGCGUUAUCCGGAAUUAUUGGGCGUAAAGCGCGCGUAGGCGGUUUUUUAAGUCUGAUGUGAAAGCCCACGGCUCAACCGUGGAGGGUCAUUGGAAACUGGAAAACUUGAGUGCAGAAGAGGAAAGUGGAAUUCCAUGUGUAGCGGUGAAAUGCGCAGAGAUAUGGAGGAACACCAGUGGCGAAGGCGACUUUCUGGUCUGUAACUGACGCUGAUGUGCGAAAGCGUGGGGAUCAAACAGGAUUAGAUACCCUGGUAGUCCACGCCGUAAACGAUGAGUGCUAAGUGUUAGGGGGUUUCCGCCCCUUAGUGCUGCAGCUAACGCAUUAAGCACUCCGCCUGGGGAGUACGACCGCAAGGUUGAAACUCAAAGGAAUUGACGGGGACCCGCACAAGCGGUGGAGCAUGUGGUUUAAUUCGAAGCAACGCGAAGAACCUUACCAAAUCUUGACAUCCUUUGACAACUCUAGAGAUAGAGCUUUCCCCUUCGGGGGACAAAGUGACAGGUGGUGCAUGGUUGUCGUCAGCUCGUGUCGUGAGAUGUUGGGUUAAGUCCCGCAACGAGCGCAACCCUUAAGCUUAGUUGCCAUCAUUAAGUUGGGCACUCUAAGUUGACUGCCGGUGACAAACCGGAGGAAGGUGGGGAUGACGUCAAAUCAUCAUGCCCCUUAUGAUUUGGGCUACACACGUGCUACAAUGGACAAUACAAAGGGCAGCGAAACCGUGAGGUCAGGCAAAUCCCAUAAAGUUGUUCUCAGUUCGGAUUGUAGUCUGCAACUCGACUACAUGAAGCUGGAAUCGCUAGUAAUCGUAGAUCAGCAUGCUACGGUGAAUACGUUCCCGGGUCU